CAAUAGCGUAUAUUAAAGUUGUUGCAGUUAAAAAGCUCGUAGUUGGAUUUCGGGGCAGCCUGGAUGGUCCGCCGCAAGGCGAGUACUGGUCAGCCGCCCUUCCUCUCGAAAGCCCCGACUGCUCUUUAUUGCAGUGGUCGGGUAGUUCGGGACGUUUACUUUGAAAAAAUUAGAGUGUUCAAGGCAGGCCUACGCCUGAAUACAUUAGCAUGGAAUAAUGGAAGAGGACCUCGGUCCUAUUUUGUUGGUUUCCAGGACCGAAGUAAUGAUUAAGAGGGACAGUUGGGGGCAUUCGUAUUUAAUUGUCAGAGGUGAAAUUCUCGGAUUUAUGAAAGACGAACAACUGCGAAAGCAUUUGCCAAGGAUGUUUUCAUUAA
rnacentral:rRNA from 1 species